rfam:Pseudomonas chlororaphis subsp. aureofaciens 30-84 chromosome, whole genome shotgun sequence.
CCGGCGAAUGCCGGUGGAACUACAGGACAGCGUGGUCGCGGGUUCGAUUCCCGCCAACCGCAAGGGAGUAGCUCAGUGGCAGAGCGCGCUGCAUGUUCCGCCUUCACUGGUCGCCGUUUU